UACGAAGGGUGCAAGCGUUACUCGGAAUUAUUGGGCGUAAAGGGCGCGUAGGCGGUCGUGUGCGUCAGAGGUGAAAUCCCCGGGCUUAACCCGGGAGCUGCCUCUGAUACGGCAUGGCUUGAGUCCGGGAGAGGAGAGCAGAAUUCCCAGUGUAGCGGUGAAAUGCGUAGAUAUUGGGAGGAAUACCGGUGGCGAAGGCGGCUCUCUGGACCGGUACUGACGCUGAUGCGCGAAAGCGUGGGUAGCAAACAGG
rnacentral:rRNA from 1 species